CUCACUAUCCAUGCAACAUCCUCCUCCUCAGUAAAAAGACCCUAAAACCCUUUUCAUUCUCACUAAUUCUCAACCCCUCCAUGUUCUUCCUCUCACAUACCACACUAAAGGAUUUGCUUUCAAUCGCAAAAAACUUCCGCCUUUGAUGUGCCAUCCUUUUCUCUCACUUCAGGCCGACCUUUCCUUCCUCCUUCCGUACAUUCUCUUCGUCUCUCUUUUGCUACUCACUGAAUCCCCUCCUCCCAUCUUCUGUCUUCCUCGCUUCACUCUUAGUCUCUCUCUUAGAGUCUUUCAGUCCUUAAUGCACUUCACUCCAUGUCCAUUAAUUAGAAUGUAAGGCAAUAAAGAGAGAGGAUCAUAUUGAUAUCCCUAGAUGACCUAAAGACUAGUAGGG
rnacentral:lncRNA from 1 species